CCAGACUCCUACGGGAGGCAGCAGUGGGGAAUAUUGCACAAUGGGCGAAAGCCUGAUGCAGCGACGCCGCGUGAGUGAAGAAGUAUCUCGGUAUGUAAAGCUCUAUCAGCAGGGAAGAAAAUGACGGUACCUGACUAAGAAGCCCCGGCUAACUACGUGC
rnacentral:rRNA from 1 species